GACGAACGCUGGCGGCGUGCUUAACACAUGCAAGUCGAACGGAAAGGCCCUGCUUUUGUGGGGUGCUCGAGUGGCGAACGGGUGAGUAACACGUGAGUAACCUGCCCUUGACUUUGGGAUAACUUCAGGAAACUGGGGCUAAUACCGGAUAGGAGCUCCUGCUGCAUGGUGGGGGUUGGAAAGUUUCGGCGGUUGGGGAUGGACUCGCGGCUUAUCAGCUUGUUGGUGGGGUAGUGGCUUACCAAGGCUUUGACGGGUAGCCGGCCUGAGAGGGUGACCGGCCACAUUGGGACUAAGAUACGGCCCAGACUCCUACGGGAGGCAGCGGUGGGGAGUAUUGCACAAUGGGGGGAAGCCUGUUGCAGCAACGCCGCGUGCGGGAUGACGGCCUUCGGGUGGUAAACCGCUUUCGCCUGUGACGAAGCGUGAGUGACGGUAAUGGGUAAAGAAGCACCGGCUAACUACGUG
rnacentral:rRNA from 1 species